UACGAAGGGGGCUAGCGUUGCUCGGAAUGACUGGGCGUAAAGGGCGCGUAGGCGGUUCGUACAGUCAGACGUGAAAUUCCCGGGCUCAACCUGGGGGCUGCGUUUGAUACGUGCGGGCUUGAGUUCGGAAGAGGGUCGUGGAAUUCCCAGUGUAGAGGUGAAAUUCGUAGAUAUUCGGAGGAACACCAGUGGCGAAGGCGGCUCACUGGCUCGACCACUGACGCUGAGGUGCGAAAGCGUGGGGAGCAAACAGG
rnacentral:rRNA from 1 species